AUGCUCGCUUCAGCAGCACAUAUACUAAAAUUGGAACGAUACAGAGAAGAUUAGCAUGGCCCCUGCACAAGGAUGACCCGCAAAUUCGUGAAGCGUUCCAUAAAAAAUUUUU